GUAGGGAGCGAGCGUUGUCCGGAAUUACUGGGUGUAAAGGGAGCGUAGGCGGGAGCGCAAGUUAAAUGUUUAAACUAUCGGCUCAACUGAUAGUCGCGUUUAAAACUGCGUUUCUUGAGUGAAGUAGAGGCAGGCGGAAUUCCUAGUGUAGCGGUGAAGUGCGUAGAUAUUAGGAGGAACACCAGUGGCGAAGGCGGCCUGCUGGGCUUUAACUGACGCUGAGGCUCGAAAGCGUGGGGAGCAAACAGGAUUAGAUACCCUGGUAGUCCACGCUGUAAACGAUGAUUACUAGGUGUGGGGGGACUGACCCCUUCCGUGCCGGAGUUAACACAAUAAGU
rnacentral:rRNA from 1 species